rnacentral:rRNA from 1 species
AGCGAACGCUGGCGGCAGGCUUAACACAUGCAAGUCGAGCGGGCACUUUCGGGUGUCAGCGGCGGACGGGUGAGUAACGCGUGGGAACGUGCCCUCUGGUUCGGAAUAACUCAGGGAAACUUGAGCUAAUUCCGGAUACGCCCUUUUGGGGAAAGGCUUGCUGCCGGAGGAUCGGCCCGCGUCUGAUUAGCUAGUUGGUGAGGUAACGGCUCACCAAGGCGACGAUCAGUAGCUGGUCUGAGAGGAUGAUCAGCCACACUGGGACUGAGACACGGCCCAGACUCCUACGGGAGGCAGCAGUGGGGAAUAUCGGACAAUGGGCGCAAGCCUGAUCCAGCCAUGCCGCGUGAGUGAUGAAGGCCUUAGGGUUGUAAAGCUCUUUUAUCCGGGACGAUAAUGACGGUACCGGAGGAAUAAGCCCCGGCUAACUUCGUG